UCCUCUAUCAGGAUUCGCUAGGGUCCACCGACAAGUCCCCUAAAUUUUUCAUCUAAAAUUUUUCUAAUCCAUAUAAGAGAGAGAAAAUAGAUACAUAAGUAAAUGAUUAAUUAAUUAAUUAAUUAACAAAAUAAGUAGAGGAGAGAGAAAUUAUUCCCUCUCUUCUUUUUCAAAAUAGGAGACACCAUCCCUAUGUACCUUCUCUUAGGUAUGAUGGAG
rnacentral:lncRNA from 1 species